AUUGUCCCUCAAAAAAUUAGCAUGGUACGGUGGAGAAAGCAGAGCGCCUGGCGAAUGACAGCUGCUGGCCCCGGACGAGGGCCAGAGAGAGGAGUUUUGCAAGGUGCCACAUCCGAAAGGCACCUGUCAACCCAGGCCUGGAGUGGCCCAAGGGGUGGCAGGUAAGACAGGCUCUCUCACUGAACCUGGAGCUCACCAAUUCAUCAAGACCAGCUGGCCAGCGAGUCCCAGGGACCCUCCUGUUGCCACUUUCCUGGUGCUGGGAUCACAGGUGAACGCCACCACACCUGACUGUAUUACGUGGGUGCUAAGAUUCAACUUUGAUCCCCUAUCUGCAAGCCAGCACCCUACCGACUGAGCGAUCUCCCCGGUCCUCAAACCAUGAUGUUUGGGGAUAAUUUGUUAUGUACCACAGAUGACUGGAACCUUCUCCAACAGAAUCCCUUGCAUAUGGGUGCCAACACACACACGCGCACACAAGAAUGUUUACUGAACCGUUGUCGACAAAGCAAAAAACUAGAAACAACAAUGUUCUCCAUCAAUGAGAAACUGGCGUGAAUGACAGCCAUGGAGUCUUGCUACGGCACAGAUAUCAGCAGCAAGGGAGAGGUGCCUGUGUCAACAGGGUGCUGGCCAAACAGUGUGGACCCAAAAGCAAGUGACCAGGAGACAUAUGGGCAUCAGUGGACUAUGGCUUCAUCGCACGGUGACCAACAAACACAAAUUGUGUCUUCUUCCAAACACUGCAGGACCUUCCUGGAAGUACAGCUUGGGGACAACUUUCCUGAACAUUUCAUGCAUGCUCGAAGGAAAAGUGCAUUCUCCAAGGUGGGGAUAAAAGGACCUCCAGCUGAGGUGGUAACACCCCAACUCCUCACUGACACUCCGUGUGGUGACUUCCUCCCCAGGAGUGUUAUGGGAGACAGGCACUGGAUCACGCUCUACAGCCGCUCACCCUCUGUACUGGGCACUGUGACUCUUCCCUCUGGAAUUUUCUUCCAGGGCUCACUCGCUCCUCAUAAAUACCCACUCGCCCUCCCAGAUGCAGCUCUUAACCACAGUGUCCCCACAGACACCUGGCCUCCAGCCAGGAAGUGCCAUCUUCAGCCCCCUGCUGUUCCACACCCUCUCUGCUUCUGAGCCUCACCCAGUUCACCCCACCACCCUUUCCCGCCCAUCUCCUCCUGCAUUGUCCCAAGACUCGGCUCACCUCUGCUCUCUUUAUUUUGAAUUAUUUAUCUGUUUAUUAUUUAUUAGAUAUUGUAUUUGUUUAAUUACCCCACAAGGUUACUUAAGGCCAUUUUCAUGCAUGUAUGUGUUACUUUGACAUAUCUCCUCCCCACACCCUACUACCCUCCCCUCUCAUCCCCGACUCGUCCCCUCUCCUCCCCUAGACGGUUUCGGUCUUUCCUGUAUGUCAACGACACAGUUCUGAGUUUGUGUAUCUGUAAAGUCCAGGACCCACAAAUGAGAGAAAACAUAUGAAGCUCAUCUUUCUGAAACUGAGACUUCAUUCACUUGACAUGCUCCCUCUGCACUUGAGUCCUUUUUACAGCAAACAACGCAACUGUGCUCUUUCCUUUCCUUUUCUUUCCUUUCCUUUUCUUUUCUUUUGUUAGUUUGUCAAGACAGGGUCUCUCUGUAGUUCUGUAGUUCCGGUUGUCCUGGAGCUCCCUAUGUAGAACAGGCUAGUCUUGAACUCACAGAACCCCCUGCUUCUGCCUCUGCCUCUGCUAGAUAACUGUAGUCUUUAUGUCUGAAAAACAUCCACUGUCUUAGUGGUUUUUUUGUUUUUGUUUUUGUUUUUCUGUGAUAAGACACUAUGACCAAGGCAACUUACAGAAGAAGGCAUUUCAUGGGGGCUUACAGUCUCAGAGGGUGAGCCCAUGACCAUUGGGGCAGGGAGCAUGGCAACAGGCAGUAGGUAUGUGUUGGAGCAGUAGCUGAGAACUUACAUGUGAUCCACAAGGAUGAAGCAGAGAGAGAACUAACUAAGAGUGAUGUGGACUUUUGAAAGCUUAAAGUGACACACCUCCUCCAACAAGGCCACACCUACUAAUCCUUCCCAAACAGGUCCACUGGGGACCAAGCACCCAUACGAGCCCGUGGGGUCAUUCUUACUCAGGUCCCCACUUUCGUUGUCUGUAUAAACCAAAUUUUCUUAUGUGAUGGACAUAAGAAAUGUCCAUCUUUCUCUGUUGAUGGACAAGUAGGUUGGCCCCAUAACUCAGCUAUUGUGAAUACUGUAACAAACAUCCAUGUGCAAGUGUCUUUUUCCUUUUCCUUCUUAUUCUUAUUUUUUGAGACAGGGUCCCAUUAUGUAGACCAGGCUACAGGGCUGGCCUCGAACUCUAGCUCACAGAAAUCCACCUGCUACUGCCUCCCAAGCACUAGCAUUGCAGGCCUGAGCCACCACACCUGCCUUCAACCUCUUCUCCCAAAAACACAUCCCCACCAGGGCUGGAGAGGUGACUGACUCAGUGAGAGCAUUUGUUUCAAAAGCGUGAAGACCUGAGUUCAGAUCCAAGCACCACACAAAAACUGGGCCUGGCAGCACCUAAUGAUGUCAGAGACAAGAGCAGUGGGAUCAUUUGGGCUGACUGGCUGGCAGCCUAGGUCUAGUUCAGCGAUAGGAACUGUCUGAAGGAAUAAGGCUGAGCAUGACAGAGGACACUCUGCACCCUCCCUGGCCUCCACACUGGUGUGUAUUGGCACACCCCCAAACAUACGCACAUAAACCAUACGUGCAUACACAUACACACUCA